rnacentral:rRNA from 1 species
GGAAUUUUGGGCAAUGGGCGAAAGCCUGACCCAGCAACGCCGCGUGAAGGAUGAAAUCCCUCGGGAUGUAAACUUCGCAAGAACGGGAAGAAUAAGUAGGGGACAACACCCCCUAUGAUCACGGUACCGUUGGUAAGCCCCGGCCAACUCCGUGCCAGCGGCCGCGGUAAUACGGGGGGGGCAAGCGUUGUUCGGAUUUACUGGGGGUAAAGGGCGCGUAGGCGGUCAGCACAAGUCAGUUGUGAAAUCUCCGAGCUUAACUCGGAAAGGUCAACUGAUACUGUGCGACUAGAGUGCAGAAGGGGCAACUGGAAUUCUCGGUGUAGCGGUGAAAUGCGUAGAUAUCGAGAGGAACACCUGCGGCGAAGGCGGGUUGCUGGGCUGACACUGACGCUGAGGCGCGAAAGCUAGGGGAGCGAA